GCCAUGAAUUUUGGAUGGAUUUCUGAUAUCCUUUUAGGUUUCAUAUCUUUGUACUCAAGAACAAUGUCACGCCCAUAAUGUUUUUGGGUUGGAUCUUUCACUAUCAACGCAGCAACUUCUGAUGUUGAUGGCAUGUUGUCUUGACUCCCAUCUUGAUCCCUGUUGCCAAGUAAACAUAGAGUGAAAUUGUUGUAGUCAUCAUCUUUAAAUCUAUCUCUUGCCAUCCGGAAUGAUUGUGCCAGUGUGUUAUUCUCGUCAAGCAUGGUUAGUAGGCCACUGACAAUUGUUUCGUCUAGUGAGGCAUUACGUUCACCAGAUCUUGAUGCCUCUACCCUAUUCUUGAUCUCGUUCUUCGUAUCAUAGAUAUACAACUGCUGGAAACGAGGCUUAUUUCCUUCUUCAGGUAGCAGGGUUCCUAUCUGGUGACGGUUCUGGCCAUUCAGUCGGAAAACAUAAGGUAUGGCGGCGGUUCUUUUAGAGGUGGCAAGGUAACCUCUCCUCGCUUGCAGCAUAUUCCAAAGGUACAUAAUUUAUCCAAUCUCCAGUUCAGUGUCUGUCGAUUCU